AUUGAACGCUGGCGGCGUGCCUAACACAUGCAAGUCGGGCGGUAACAGGUGUAGCAAUACAUGCUGACGAGCGGCGAACGGGUGAGUAACGCUUCGGAAUCUACCCAUGGGUGGGGAAUAACCAGCCGAAAGGUUGGCUAAUACCGCAUACGUCCUACGGGGGAAAGCAGGGGAUCGCAAGACCUUGCGCCGAUGGAUGAGCCGAAGCCGGAUUAGCUAGUUGGUAGGGUAACGGCCUACCAAGGCGACGAUCCGUAGCUGGUCUGAGAGGACGACCAGCCACACUGGGACUGAGACACGGCCCAGACUCCUACGGGAGGCAGCAGUGGGGAAUAUUGGACAAUGGGGGAAACCCUGAUCCAGCGACGCCGCGUGUGUGAAGAAGGCCUGCGGGUUGUAAAGCACUUUUAGUGGGGAUGAAAAGUUCAGGGCUAAUACCCCUGGAUCUUGACCUAACCCACAGAAAAAGCACCGGCUAACUCUGUGCCAGCAGCCGCGGUAAUACAGAGGGUGCAAGCGUUAAUCGGAAUUACUGGGCGUAAAGCGUGCGUAGACGGUUACAUAAGUCGGGUGUGAAAGCCCCGGGCUCAACCUGGGAAUCGCAUUCGAGACUGCGUAGCUAGGGUGCGGAAGAGGGAAGCGGAAUUUCCGGUGUAGCGGUGAAAUGCGUAGAUAUCGGAAGGAACACCAGUGGCGAAAGCGGCUUCCUGGUCCAGCACCGACGUUCAGGCACGAAAGCGUGGGGAGCAAACAGG
rnacentral:rRNA from 1 species